GACGAACGCUGGCGGCGCGCUUAACACAUGCAAGUCGAACGAGAAGGCGUAGCAAUACGCUUGUACAGUGGCGAACGGGUGAGUAAUACGUGGGCGACCUACCCUCGAGUGGGGAAUAACCCGCCGAAAGGCGGGCUAAUGCCGCGUACGCUUCCAUCUUCAUGGAGGUGGAAGGAAAGCCGUGCCGUGGGCACGGCGCUCAAGGAUGGGCUCACGUCCUAUCAGCUUGUUGGAGGGUAACGGCCUACCAAGGCUCCGACGGGUAGCUGGUCUGAGAGGACGAUCAGCCACACUGGCACUGCGACACGGGCCAGACUCCUACGGGAGGCAGCAGUGAGGAAUAUUGCGCAAUGGGCGAAAGCC
rnacentral:rRNA from 1 species